rnacentral:rRNA from 1 species
UACGAAGGGGGCUAGCGUUGCUCGGAAUCACUGGGCGUAAAGGGUGCGUAGGCGGGUCUUUUAAGUCAGGGGUGAAAUCCUGGAGCUCAACUCCAGAACUGCCUUUGAUACUGAGAUCUUGAGUUCGGGAGAGGUGAGUGGAACUGCGAGUGUAGAGGUGAAAUUCGUAGAUAUUCGCAAGAACACCAGUGGCGAAGGCGGCUCACUGGCCCGAUACUGACGCUGAGGCACGAAAGCGUGGGGAGCAAACAGGG